rnacentral:rRNA from 1 species
AUCUGCCCACUGAAAUUUUAAAUGGCUGCAGUAUCAAUAACUGUACAAAGGUAGCAUAAUAAUUAGUUUUUUAAUUAAAAACUAGAAUGAAAGAUUAAAUGAAAUAUAAACUUUAUAAAUAAAAUUAAAUUAAAAUUAAAUUUUAAGUUAAAAUUCUUAAAUAUUAUUAAAAGACGAGAAGACCCUUUAGAAUUUUAUAUUAAUUAAAAUUAAAAUUAUAAUUAUUAAUAAUAUAAAUUUUAAUUAAUAUUUAAUUGGGGUAAUUUUUUAAUUUUAUAAACUUUAAAAUAAUCAAACAUAAAUUAAUGAAUUUAUAAACCUAAAAA